rnacentral:lncRNA from 1 species
CCUCCCUGUUCCAGAGACAGCCACAUCUUCCCGUGCAGUGCCAGCCUCAUCUCAUAGACAAGAUGGUGAAGGUCAGUGUGAAUGGAUUUGGCCGUAUUGGGCACCUGGUUACCAGGGCUGCCUUCUCUUCUGACAAAGUGCAGAUUGUUGCCGUCAACGACCCCUUCAUUGACCUCAACUACAUGGUCUACAUGUUCCAGUAUGACUCUACCCACGGCAGGUUCAACGGCACAGUCAAGGCUGAGAAUGGGAAGCUUGUCAUCAACGGGAAGCCCAGCACCAUCUUCCAGGAGCGAGAUCCCGCUAACAUCAAAUGGGGUGACGCUGGUGCUGAGUAUGUCGUGGAGUCUACUGGCGUCUUCACCACCAUGGAGAAGGCUGGGGCUCACCUGAAGGGUGGGGCCAAAAGGGUCAUCAUCUCUGUCCCUUCAGCCGAUGCCCCAUGUUUGUGAUGGGUGUGAACCACGAGAAAUAUGACAACUCCCUCAAGAUUGUCAGCAAUGCAUCCUGCACCACCCACUGCUUAGCCCCCCUGGCCAAGGUCAUCCAUGAGAACUUUGGCAUUGUGGAAGGGCUCAUGACCACAGUCCAUGCCAUCACUGCCACUCAGAAGACUGUGGAUGGCCCCUCUGGAAAGCCGUGGCGUGAUGGCCGUGGGGCAGCCCAG